GCCCGGCUAGCUCAGUCGGUAGAGCAUUGGACUCUUAAUCCAACGGUCGUGGGUUCGAGCCCCACGUUGGGCG
rnacentral:tRNA from 1 species